CCCCUGGCAAUUUUGCAUCCCCAAUGUCUUGAGAUCAUGUUGACCAAGUUUGGUGGCAAUCGGGUAAAAAACCUAUGACAAGUAUAUCAAAUUCCAGAGCAUGCACUUUUUACAUAGCUCUAAAUAGCUGACUUCCUGUUGGGCGGAGCCUAUGACAUGCAAUACGAAAGUUGUUCGGCACAAUGAGAUCUAUAUGUGUACUGAGUUUCAUAUGAAUACGUGCAAGUAUGUUUGAACUAUACAUCAACAUUUCUGACUGUGUUCCAGGAGCCCCUGUGCCACGCCCGUGUAUCAGUCUCUGCCCGGCCCUAAUGGCCGCAGGUUCCAAUGUGUGUGCCAAUUUUCAAGAGUUUUCGAGUAUGUUAAGGGCCCCAAAAGCCCCCGAGACGUUGGAAAAUAAUAAUAAUAAUAAUAAUAAUAAUAAUAAUAAUAAAAAAUAAUCCUAAGGAAAACAAUAGGGCUCUCGCCCUCCAGGCUUGAGCCCUAAAUAUAGCUGCAAGCAGCGAUGGCGGGCUCAAGCCAUCAG
ensembl:lncRNA